CCUACGUGGGGCAGCAGUGAGGAAUAUUGGUCAAUGGCCGGAAGGCUGAACCAGCCAAGCCGCGUGAGGGAGGAAGGCGCAGAGCGUCGCAGACCUCUUUUGCCGGGGGACAAAAGGCCGGACGGUUCCGGUUCUGAGGGUACCCGGAGCAAAAGCAUCGGCUAACUCCGUACCAGCAGCCGCGGUAAGACGGAGGGUGCGAGCGUUAUCCGGAUUCAUUGGGUCUAAAGGGAGCGUAGAUGGGUUGUUAAGUCAGUUGUGAAAGUUUGCGGCUCAACCGUAAAAUUGCAAUUGAUACUGGCAGUCUUGAGUACAGGUGCGGUAGGCGGAAUUCGUGGUGUAGCGGUGAAAUGCUUAGAUAGCACGAAGAACCCCGAUUGCGAAGGCAGCUUACUAAACUGUGACUGACAUUGAUGCUCGAAAGUGUGGGUAUCAAACAGGAUUAGAUACCCGUGUAGUC
rnacentral:rRNA from 1 species